AUAAUGAUACUUCCGUCCAGCCACAGACUCAAGCAAUGGGGGCGGCUCCGAGAGAUCCUCGGAGUGGUGGGAUUCCAAUGA
rnacentral:ncRNA from 1 species